GUCACCCCCACCCCCUGCCAUUUAAAAAAGUUCUAAUAUCUUGUAAGUGGUCAAGAUCCCCACCCCUAAACCAUAUAUAUUCUGUUUUGUCAUGAUAAAGCACAUCAAAUGAAAUACAGGGUUAGUCCCCAGGGGCCACCCCCACCCCCUGCCAUUUAAGAAAGUUCUAAUACCUUGUAAGUGGUCAAGAUCCCCACUCCUAAACCAUAUAUAUUCUGGUUUGUCAUGCUUAGAUGGUUUGAAUGAUAUACAGGGUUAGUCCCCAGGAGUCAUCCCGACCCCCUGCCAUUUGAGAAAGUUCUAAAUGGUCAAGAUCCCCA